rnacentral:rRNA from 1 species
UACGGAGGGGGCGAGCGUUAUUCGGAAUUAUUGGGCGUAAAGGGCGCGUAGGCGGCUGAACAAGUCAAAGGUGAAAUCCCUCGGCUCAACUGAGGAACUGCCUUUGAAACUGUUCGGCUUGAGGCCGGGAGGGGGUAGCGGAAUUCCCCAGUGUAGCGGUGAAAUGCGUAGAUAUUGGGAGGAACACCAGUGGCGAAGGCGGCUACCUGGACCGGUUCUGACGCUGAGGCGCGAAAGCGUGGGGAGCAAACAGG